rnacentral:rRNA from 1 species
UGAGCAAUCUGCCCUUCUCAUCGGAAUAAGCGUUGGAAACGACGUCUAAUGCCGAAUACGACCUCCUUUCGCAUGAUCGGAGGUGGAAAGCUCCGGCGGAGAAGGAUGAGCUCGCGGCCUAUCAGCUAGUUGGUGUGGGUAAUGGCCCACCAAGGCGACGACGGGUAGCCGGCCUAAGAGGGUGACCGGCCACACUGGGACUGAGACACGGCCCAGACCUCCUACGGGAGGNAG